CCCCCCGCAAACAGCUGCUCCAUGGCAUGCAGGAGGAACUGGGAGGGAGGAGGAGGAGUUGAUCAGUGUGGGUCGCAGGCGGACAUGAGAUAGAGGGAGCACCCGCUCUCUGAUCUGAACACUAGACCACACUGCCUCUCGAAUGGUCCAAGGAACUAGUAAAAAAGUAUUUCCCUGUCAUCAUUAGCAGUAGUGGUCAGGCACAAGGUUUGUAGGGCUGUGACAGAGUUGGUGCAGGGGACAGUUCUUGAGCCACCAGCAGAUACAAAGGAGGAGAAUAAAAAGAGCAGCCCCUAGGAUGCCCAUGGUGUGAGGAGCUGUGGGCCGAAACCAAGCUAUAGAGAUGACCACCGCCCACCAGCAGUGAUUUCUAUGGGUGAAGAAUGAGUGGGCUCCACAAGCGGGACCUGGAGGAUUACUAAGGGAGCCCCAUGAGGUAGCACCUCCAAUAAGAGGGAAAGAAAACACCUUCCUGUCAGUGUUGUUGCAGCUGUGAUGGUUCCAGGAUAUGAGAGAGACAAGCUGGUGGAGACAAUCCAAGUAGGCGGAGAUACAGCAGAACACUCCCUUCAAGACAGACUCCAUGUUGCCUAAUUCACAGCUGGAAAUAGACUAUUGUUUGGACAUCUCCUUCAGAAGAAUCCUCUUCAAGGAUUCAGUGGACUAUACAAGAAAGGGGCUGAGAAACCUAAUGUAUCUCUCUUUCACCUAAGAAGACAAGAGUACCAGCCUUUUGACUUUGGAGGAUAGAUCCUGACCUAGGAGCUCCAUCAGCCAUAUUGAUGGAAACGUGGUGAGGAUUUUACCUUGAACCAAGUUUAGCUUGCUAAUUUUUAGUUAGUAGAAAGCGUUUUAUCUAUGUUUCUCUUGUAACUAUUGCCAACUUUAAUCCUUAUGCUUGUACUCACCUAACACCUCUCUCCUUGAAAUGAAAGCUCACUUGUUUUCCUUUAAUCCAAACCAGCCCAGAGCUGCAUUUGAACUGAACUGUUUGGUAACUUCAGGUAAAGUAACAAACUGCUGGAUGUUGACUCUUUAAAGAGCAGUGAAUGUUAACAUUCUGCUGAUUCUCCGGGACAGGGCCGGACAUUUCAGAAUACGUGUUUUGGGGAAAAUUCUGGGCUGGGGAGAGUGUGAAGUCACCUUACCAGUUGUUAACCAUGGCUAGUGGGGACCAGCGGAAAUCUGUAGUAUUGCAGGCAGGCUUCUGGAUCCAAAACAUUGGACCGGGCUGCCCAAUACACAGACUUAAAGCACAUGUUUGUUUCUGACUGUGGACAUCCCCAGCAGAGAGCUAUAGUGGCAAAGUUUUAAGACCCUUUAAGGUUAUAGGGUCAGGGUUGACAGCUCUUCACUGGUCUGGAUUGCACCUCAGAAUGUAACACACAUCACAUCAGUGCUAUUUCAUCUAAUGAAGGAUCCUAGUGUAACCCCCCAUAAAUCAGUAGACUUGCCCCCUUGGACCAACUUAAGACCUGGUGUAAGUGGAUGUUAACUCCUUGGACUUCACUAGCUCCAUGUGUUCUGGCCAAAAAAUUAAGAAGAAAAACCACAAAGACUAAAUUUCAGACAUUGGGGAGGAAAGGAGAAUCUUGACAGAGAGCCAGAUCCUCUCCUGCUUUCUGGUUGUUUGUACUGCUCAGGUAUUGCCACACAGUCAGCAAUAUGCCCUAAUGAGCUGGCUGGAGAUUUAUGCCUUCUUAGGGAAAUCCCCAGGAGGCAUAAAGUCAGUAUAGCCAGUUCUUAUGCCAGCUGCUUCUGCCCCCCUGCAUAGCAGACAUGUGGGCAGGGUGGGGAAGCUGGGAGUUGGGUCACUGGUGCAUGCAGUGCUGCAGCGAUCCUGAACCUGAUCUAAAUACUGCCUGAGCCAACCCCUAGAUUGAGCACAGUUUGAGCAGAUGUCAGGCUGUGCUCCAUGUUCUCUCCGAGGAGAGAAUUCUUCCAGAUUGGAGCCCGGAAUCUGAGUUGGGGAAAUAGGAGGGCUGGAUUAACUUGUAAUUCGUGACAUGAGUGUGAAGGAUUCACUGGAGAGAACUGAGAAAUCAUAGCAAUGUGCUUUUUUUAAAGCAAAAUAAUUUUCUCCAUUCUUUACAGAGCCAUUUGGGUUGCGGGUGGAUAAGUAGCAGAAGGAAUUACAGGUGGGAUGAUUCUUCUCUCACUUAUCCUUAUGCAGGUGCAGAGGAAGGAGGAGCUCCACUGAAGUCAAUGGAGCUACACCAGUGUAAAUCAGAGAGGGAUCUAGCCCUGUAUGGUGCCUAGAGGAUUUUAUCACUAUCUAUAGGUAUCAUUUAAAUAAUUAGUUGAUGAUAGUAAAGCACUUUGAAGAUGACAAGCACUGGAUAAGUGCUGGGUAUUAUUAUUUAUUAUUAGCUGUCAGUGAUCACAGGUUUUGAGUUCCUUUCAAACUUUUCUUUUCAAAACUCUGCCCUCCUUCCAUCUCUCCUCCGCCUCCCAAGAACUCCUCCUUCUCAGAGUCCGUCAUCAAAGAUGUGCAGAUUAUAGAAAUGUACUGGUCCAUUUUGUUGCUCAGAAGGCCAAACCCAUGAUGGAUGGUUGCAACUGCAUCACAUCUAUCAUUUGGUUACAUUGCUUGGACUAGUAUUGAAACAUUUUUCAUCAAGAUCACUUUUAAAAAGUAGCCAACAGAGAAAAAUUAAAGGACUAAACCAAGUUAAAUAAUAAAAAUGAAAUCUUGUGUCCUUUUCACGUAUCUAAGACUUUUCUUAUUGCGUUUUACUGGGAAGGGAGGGGUAUUAGUUAUUUUUUUAAGAACCAAGAGUAAAAUGUUCAAAAAUGCCUAAGUGACUUAGGAGCCUACAGGCUUGUCUGCAUGAGAAAACCACACUGGUUGAA